GUGAAUCAUCGAAUCUUUGAACGCAAAUUGCACUUUCUGGUAUUCCGGAAAGUAUGCCUGUUUGAGGGUCAGUUAAAUAAAAAUCGGUGUUGUUGCUGCUUUUCGUGGUGACGCGUCGGAUUUGAGGUGUCUUACGUUCGGUUAAGUGACUUAAGCUUUUUCAUGAUUUUCGAACGUAUUUAAAUUUCUUACGUACGUUUGAGAUAUGUAAUUUUUUAUUAGGUUGGGUCAUCCUCGUGAGUCG
rnacentral:misc_RNA from 1 species